GACGAACGCUGGCGGCGUGCUUAACACAUGCAAGUCGAACGGAAAGGCCCUGCUUUUGUGGGGUGCUCGAGUGGCGAACGGGUGAGUAACACGUGAGUAACCUGCCCUUGACUUUGGGAUAACUUCAGGAAACUGGGGCUAAUACCGGAUAGGAGCUCCUGCUGCAUGGUGGGGGUUGGGAAGUUUCGGCGGUUGGGGAUGGACUCGCGGCUUAUCAGCUUGUUGGUGGGGUAGUGGCUUACCAAGGCUUUGACGGGUAGCCGGCCUGAGAGGGUGACCGGCCACAUUGGGACUGAGAUACGGCCCAGACUCCUACGGGAGGCAGCAGUGGGGAAUAUUGCACAAUGGGCGGAAGCCUGAUGCAGCAACGCCGCGUGCGGGAUGACGGCCUUCGGGUUGUAAACCGCUUUCGCCUGUGACGAAGCGUGAGUGACGGUAAUGGGUAAAGAAGCACCGGCUAACUACGUGCCAGCAGCCGCGGUGAUACGUAGGGUGCGAGCGUUGUCCGGAUUUAUUGGGCGUAAAGGGCUCGUAGGUGGUUGAUCGCGUCGGAAGUGUAAUCUUGGGGCUUAACCCUGAGCGUGCUUUCGAUACGGGUUGACUUGAGGAAGGUAGGGGAGAAUGGAAUUCCUGGUGGAGCGGUGGAAUGCGCAGAUAUCAGGAGGAACACCAGUGGCGAAGGCGGUUCUCUGGGCCUUUCCUGACGCUGAGGAGCGAAAGCGUGGGGAGCGAACAGGCUUAGAUACCCUGGUAGUCCACGCUGUAAACGGUGGGUACUAGGUGUGGGGUCCAUUCCACGGGUUCCGUGCCGUAGCUAACGCUUUAAGUACCCCGCCUGGGGAGUACGGCCGCAAGGCUAAAACUCAAAGGAAUUGACGGGGCCCCGCACAAGCGGCGGAGCAUGCGGAUUAAUUCGAUGCAACGCGUAGAACCUUACCUGGGUUUGACAUGGAUCGGGAGUGCUCAGAGAUGGGUGUGCCUCUUUUGGGGUCGGUUCACAGGUGGUGCAUGGCUGUCGUCAGCUCGUGUCGUGAGAUGUUGGGUUAAGUCCCGCAACGAGCGCAACCCUUGUUCACUGUUGCCAGCACGUUAUGGUGGGGACUCAGUGGAGACCGCCGGGGUCAACUCGGAGGAAGGUGGGGAUGACGUCAAGUCAUCAUGCCCCUUAUGUCCAGGGCUUCACGCAUGCUACAAUGGCUGGUACAGAGAGUGGCGAGCCUGUGAGGGUGAGCGAAUCUCGGAAAGCCGGUCUCAGUUCGGAUUGGGGUCUGCAACUCGACCUCAUGAAGUCGGAGUCGCUAGUAAUCGCAGAUCAGCAACGCUGCGGUGAAUACGUUCCCGGGGCUUGUACACACCGCCCGUCAAGUCAUGAAAGUUGGUAACACCCGAAGCCGGUGGCCUAACCGUUGUGGGGGAGCCGUCGAAGGUGGGACUGGUGAUUAGGACUAAGUCGUAACAAGGUAGCCGUACCGGAAGG
rnacentral:rRNA from 1 species